GCUGGCGGUNGCCUACACAUGCAANUCGAACGGCAGCACAGAGGAGCUUGCUCCUUGGGUGGCGAGUGGCGGACGGGUGAGGAAUACAUCGGAAUCUACUCUGUCGUGGGGGAUAACGUAGGGAAACUUACGCUAAUACCGCAUACGACCUACGGGUGAAAGCAGGGGAUCUUCGGACCUUGCGCGAUUGAAUGAGCCGAUGUCGGAUUAGCUAGUUGGCGGGGUAAAGGCCCACCAAGGCGACGAUCCGUAGCUGGUCUGAGAGGAUGAUCAGCCACACUGGAACUGAGACACGGUCCAGACUCCUACGGGAGGCAGCAGUGGGGAAUAUUGGACAAUGGGCGCAAGCCUGAUCCAGCCAUACCGCGUGGGUGAAGAAGGCCUUCGGGUUGUAAAGCCCUUUUGUUGGGAAAGAAAUCCAGCCGGCUAAUACCUGGUUGGGAUGACGGUACCCAAAGAAUAAGCACCGGCUAACUUCGUGCCAGCAGCCGCGGUAAUACGAAGGGUGCAAGCGUUACUCGGAAUUACUGGGCGUAAAGCGUGCGUAGGUGGUUAUUUAAGUCCGUUGUGAAAGCCCUGGGCUCAACCUGGGAACUGCAGUGGAUACUGGAUGACUAGA
rnacentral:rRNA from 1 species